GAAUCUUGCACAAUGGGCGAAAGCCUGAUGCAGCAACGCCGCGUGGGGGAUGAAGGCUCUCGGGUCGUAAACCCCUUUCAGCAGGGACGAAAUUGACGGUACCUGCAGAAGAAGGCCCGGCCAACUACGUGCCAGCAGCCGCGGUAACACGUAGGGGCCAAGCGUUGUCCGGAUUUAUUGGGCGUAAAGAGCUCGUAGGCGGUUCGGUAAGUCGGGUGUGAAAACUCUGGGCUCAACCCAGAGACGCCAUCCGAUACUGCUGUGACUUGAGUCCGGUAGGGGAGUGUGGAAUUCCCGGUGUAGCGGUGAAAUGCGCAGAUAUCGGGAGGAACACCAGUGGCGAAGGCGGCACUCUGGGCCGGAACUGACGCUGAGGAGCGAAAGCGUGGGUAGCAAAC
rnacentral:rRNA from 1 species